CACAACUUUUUUGCCACAACUUUUCCACCGUAUUUUUUAUCCCAUAACUUUUUCAUCCCACAACUUUUAAUUCCUGUAACUUUUUAGUUUAUGUUCUUUUAAUAAACACACUUACAUAGUUACAAUUUUGUGAGAAUAAAAACUUAUCUCAUGCCAAUGUUCCCGGCAUUUGCACAAUCUCAAUACCUUUAAGACUAUUUUCAAGACACACAAAAUUUUAAGGCAAAAACAGCACCUUGCAAGAAUUUCAUAAUUUGUUACAUUACAGUAGCAUCACAGAAGCAGUCAAGAAUGCCACUUUAGACAAAAGUCAGUAUUUCCAUUAUACAUUCUGUUUACCAGAAAUCAGAAGUUGGUAAAAGUAAUUCUAAGAAAACUUGGCAAAUAAAGGGUUGGACUGGAAUUGGCAUUUCUUUCUCUACUUUUCCUUCCCCUAGAUUCUUUGUUUUAAACUAUGGUGUUCAUAUUUUAAAAUGUUUUAACUUAUUUCAAGACAUUAAUACAGCAGUUACAUAUUUGAAUAGUUAUUUGAAAGUGACUGCAAGAUAAAGUUUUAGAGAAGCUAUUAUGGAUGGGGUGAUUUACAUUUUCAUGUUUUGUACAAAGCAGCUUUGGUUUUAGAACUGAGUUUUUUUCAUUUUGGGAAAACCUAUCAGGGUUAAUCAAACACUUUAAAAAUAAUUUUCAUAUAUUGCAGUCUUUCAAUAGGCAUUUUGAUUCUUUACUUCCUACAGAAAUUCAAAUUUAUUCAGUUGAACUCACACUUUAAAAUUCUGUGUUUCUGCUGAACUCUAACCUUCUAAUGUUGCCUUCUAAGCAAAUUGAGAGCUGCCUUAUACUGAAUGAGGAAGAGAACAAAUACUUGGCUGAAUGAGCUCUUAGAUGAUGGUUAUGUUUAUCUCCCUGAUCUCGGAACCAUGAAAAGAAUGGCAUGCAGGGGUUGCUGCCCAAGCCUUGGUGCUCCUGGGGAGUCCUGCGUCAGAGGAAGCAGCUGCACGAUCUGCUGUGCAGUGGGGUUGU
rnacentral:lncRNA from 1 species